GUCCUUAUCGUCUAGAGGCCUAGGACACCGCCCUUUCACGGCGGUAACAGGGGUUCGAAUCCCCUUAGGGAUGCCA
rnacentral:tRNA from 13 species